GCCCCCGUAGCUCAGAGGAUAGAGCAGGUGCCUUCUAAGCACUUGGUCGCAGGUUCGAUUCCUGCCGGGGGCA
rnacentral:tRNA from 1 species